rnacentral:rRNA from 1 species
UACGGAGGGCGCAAGCGUUGUUCGGAAUCACUGGGCGUAAAGCGCGUGUAGGCGGCCGGGCAAGUCGGAUGUGAAAUCCCGAGGCUCAACCUCGGAACUGCAUUCGAAACUGCCCGGCUGGAGUCCCGGAGAGGAUGGCGGAAUUCCCGGUGUAGGGGUGAAAUCCGUAGAUAUCGGGAGGAACACCAGUGGCGAAGGCGGCCAUCUGGACGGUGACUGACGCUGAGACGCGAAAGCGUGGGGAGCAAACAGG